rnacentral:rRNA from 1 species
UACGUAGGGUGCGAGCGUUGUCCGGAAUUACUGGGCGUAAAGAGCUCGUAGGUGGUUUGUCGCGUUGUUCGUGAAAACCGGGGGCUUAACCCUCGGCGUGCGGGCGAUACGGGCAGACUUGAGUACUGCAGGGGAGACUGGAAUUCCUGGUGUAGCGGUGGAAUGCGCAGAUAUCAGGAGGAACACCGGUGGCGAAGGCGGGUCUCUGGGCAGUAACUGACGCUGAGGCGCGAAAGCGUGGGGAGCGAACAGG